rnacentral:lncRNA from 1 species
GCAGACCCAUCGCUCAGCCUUUGUUUCCAAGAACAGCUCUUAUUCCUUAGCUUUCCUGGCAGGGAAGCUAAACACCAAGGUGCAGAGAAGUCAGAGCUGCAGUGACACAAUUCAGGACAGAGUGAGGAGCAGGCUCAGGACAGCUCCACCCAGCAGAGCCAAGAUCACAACUAUAACUCCAGGCUCCACCCCCAUCAUUGGUGUUCUCUUGUCUACUCAGAACAGCCGCUGCUUGAGGUGGGGCAGAAAUUGCAGCAGGAGGAAGAGGGCCAGCAGCUGGCUCUGCAGUCACAGCGCAUGUUUGACAGUGAGAGGCGGACUAUGAGCCGGCGAAAAGGCAGCGUGGAUCAAUAUCUCUUGAGGUCCAGCAGCUUGGCUGGGGCCAAGUAGCACUUAAUGUACAAAGUAAU